CCUGCUCUUGCUUCGGGCUCCGUUUAUACUCCAGACUUCGCCACUGACCAAGAUGCGGCAUCUGCUCCUAUUCUGAGUCCCACGUCCACUAUACCACCUGAAUGGAGUGAAGGGAAAAAUGAUGACACACAUAUAUAUGUACACACACAUGUAUACUGCUAUUUGCCCAGAAGGCCUGAGAAAUCAGUCAACACAGCAGGAACCUGGAAACUGCCUCCCUCAGCCAGCUGCUGACUUUAACAGCAAGGUUGACCAUGAGGAGCCAGGAAGCAUGGGAAGCUGGCAAAGAGCUAGACAGUAGAUGUCUUCUGGGCUCCUGUGGGACAAGGUGACCAAAACGUUGCUCAGAUCUCAGUUUCUGGACUUCCUGUGUGACCUUGGGCAAGUUAUUUAACCUCUCUGGGCCUCCUCAACUGUAAAAUCCAGAAAAUGGACCUAACAGAGUUGCUGAGAAGGUUAAAUAAAUUAUGUGUCAAGAACUUGGAACAGUGCCCGGCACAUAGUAAAUCCUAUGGGUUUUCUAUUACUGUUAUUAAAACGAUCUUGUGUAACUUUUU